AAUCAACGCUGGCGGCGUGCCUAACACAUGCAAGUCGCACGAGAAAGGGGAGCAAUCCCUGAGUAAAGUGGCGCACGGGUGAGUAACACGUGAAUUAUCUACCUCCGAGUGGGGAAUAACUGAGAGAAAUCUUAGCUAAUACCGCAUAACACUUACGAGUCAAAGCAGCAAUGCGCUUGGAGAGGAGUUCGCGGCCGAUUAGUUAGUUGGCGGGGUAAUGGCCCACCAAGACGAUGAUCGGUAUCCGGCCUGAGAGGGCGCACGGACACACUGGAACUGAAACACGGUCCAGACUCCUACGGGAGGCAGCAGUGGGGAAUUUUGCGCAAUGGGGGAAACCCUGACGCAGCAACGCCGCGUGGAGGAUGAAGUAUCUUGGUACGUAAACUCCUUUCGAUUGGGAAGAUAAUGACGGUACCAAUAGAAGAAG
rnacentral:rRNA from 1 species